UAGGGGAGAAAUUCCAAUCGAACCCGGAGAUAGCUGGUUCUCCUCGAAAUAGCUUUAGGGCUAGCCUCAUGGAUCAUUGAUGGGGGUAGAGCACUGAAUGUGCGCGGGGGCCACAAAGCCUACCAAACGCUAUCAAACUUCGAAUACCAUACAAUGCAGACCAUGGGAGUCAGUCCGCGAGAGAUAAGUUCCGCGGGCAAAAGGGGAACACCCCAGAUCAACCGCUAAGGUCCCCAAGUUCACGUUAAGUGGAGAAGGAUGUGGAAUUGCACAGACAACCAGGAUGUUGGCUCAGAAGCAGCCACACAUUUAAAGAGUGCGUAAUAGCUCACUGGUCGAGUGAUUGUGCGCCGAAGAUGUCCGGGGCUAAACGUGACACCGAAGCGAUGGGUGCGUCUGAAGAAGAUGCGCGGUAGAGGAGCAAUGUGCAGAGGCAGAAGCCGUAUCGAGAGGCACGGUGGACACUGCACAAGAGAGAAUGCCGGUAUGAGUAGCGAGAGGCAUGCGAGAAACAUGCCCGUCGAAAGCCCAAGGUUUCCUGGGGAAGGUUCAUCCGCCCAGGGUAAGUCGGGGCCUAAGCCGAGGACGGAAGUCGUAGGCGAUGGACAGCAGGUGUAGAUUCCUGCACUACCGAUGGAAUGAAGCAGUGACACAGAAGGAUAACUCGAGCAGGGUGAUGGUCAACCCUGUGCAAGCAUCAAGGUUGGGUUGUAGUGAAGUACGCAACCCUAUAAGCUGAGGUGUGAUGCGGACCGAAAUUUCAGUAGGGAAGCGAGUGAGUUCACGCUGGCGAGAAAAGCUGCUAGUACAUCCAAAGGUACCCGUACCGGAAACCGACGCAGGUGGGCGAGGAGAGAAUCCUGAGACGAACGGGAGAACCCUUGUUAAGGAACUCGGCAAAAUGACCCCGUAACUUCGGGAUAAGGGGUGCCUGCGAGAGCAGGCCGCAGAGAAUAGUCACAAGCGACUGUUUAGCAAAAACACAGGUAUCUGCGAAAGCGAGAGCUGACGUAUAGGUGCUGACACCUGCCCGGUGCUGGAAGGUUAAGGGAACAUGUUAGAGCAAUCGAAGCAUCGAACCGAAGCCCCAGUAAACGGCGGCCGUAACUAUAACGGUCCUAAGGUAGCGAAAUUCCUUGUCGGGUAAGUUCCGACCCGCACGAAUGGUGUAACGACUUGUGAGCUGUCUCAACAGGGGGCCCGGUGAAAUUGAAGUAUGGGUGAAGAUGCCCAUUACCCGCGACUGGACGGAAAGACCCCGUAGAGCUUUACUGCAGCCUGAUAUUGAGUUUCGGUAACUGAUGCACAGGAUAGGUGGGAGUCUGAGAGACAUGGGUUUCGGCUCAUGUGGAGACGCUGUUGGGAUACCACUCUUCGGUUACUGAAAUUCUAACAUAGCUCUGUGAAACCAGAGGAUGGACAGUGUCAGGUGGACAGUUUGACUGGGGCGGUCGCCUCCGAAAGAGUAACGGAGGCGCCCAAAGGUACCCUCAGAAUGGAUGGAAACCAUUCGAAGAGCGCAAAGGCAGAAGGGUGCCUGACUGCGAGAGUGACAACUCGAGCAGAGACGAAAGUCGGGCUUAGUGAUCCGGCGGUAUUGAGUGGAAAAGCCGUCGCUUAACGGAUAAAAGCUACCUCGGGGAUAACAGGCUGAUCUCCCCCAAGAGUCCACAUCGACGGGGAGGUUUGGCAC
rnacentral:rRNA from 1 species